rnacentral:rRNA from 1 species
GAUGAACGCUGGCGGCGUGCCUAAUACAUGCAAGUCGAGCGAACAGAUAAGGAGCUUGCUCCUUUGAAGUUAGCGGCGGACGGGUGAGUAACACGUGGGUAACCUACCUAUAAGACUGGGAUAACUUCGGGAAACCGGAGCUAAUACCGGAUAACAUUUAGAACCGCAUGGUUCUAAAGUGAAAGAUGGUUUUGCUAUCACUUAUAGAUGGACCCGCGCCGUAUUAGCUAGUUGGUAAGGUAACGGCUUACCAAGGCGACGAUACGUAGCCGACCUGAGAGGGUGAUCGGCCACACUGGAACUGAGACACGGUCCAGACUCCUACGGGAGGCAGCAGUAGGGAAUCUUCCGCAAUGGGCGAAAGCCUGACGGAGCAACGCCGCGUGAGUGAUGAAAGGUUUCGGCUCGUAAAACUCUGUUAUUAGGGAAGAAAAAAUGUGUAAGUAACUGUGCACAUCUUGACGGUACCUAAUCAGAAAGCCACGGCUAACUACGUGCCAGCAGCCGCGGUAAUACGUAAGUGGCAAGCGUUAUCCCGAAUUAUUGGGCGUAAAGCGCGCGUAGGCGGUUUCUUAGUCUGAUGUGAAAGCCCACGGCUCAACCGUGGAGGGUCAUUGGAAACUGGGAAACUUGAGUGCAGAAGAGGAAAGUGGAAUUCCAUGUGUAGCGGUGAAAUGCGCAGAGGUAUGGAGGAACACCAGUAGCGAAGGCGACUUUCUGGUCUGUAACUGACGCUGAUGUGCGAAAGCGUGGGGAUCAAACAGGAUUAGAUACCCUGGUAGUCCACGCCGUAAACGAUGAGUGCUAAGUGUUAGGGGGUUUCCGCCCCUUAGUGCUGCAGCUAACGCAUUAAGCACUCCGCCUGGGGAGUACGACCGCAAGGUUGAAACUCAAAGGAAUUGACGGGGACCCGCACAAGCGGUGGAGCAUGUGGUUUAAUUCGAAGCAACGCGAAGAACCUUACCAAAUCUUGACAUCCUUUGAAAACUCUAGAGAUAGAGCCUUCCCCUUCGGGGGACAAAGUGACAGGUGGUGCAUGGUUGUCGUCAGCUCGUGUCGUGAGAUGUUGGGUUAAGUCCCGCAACGAGCGCAACCCUUAAGCUUAGUUGCCAUCAUUAAGUUGGGCACUCUAGGUUGACUGCCGGUGACAAACCGGAGGAAGGUGGGGAUGACGUCAAAUCAUCAUGCCCCUUAUGAUUUGGGCUACACACGUGCUACAAUGGACAAUACAAAGGGCAGCUAAACCGCGAGGUCAUGCAAAUCCCAUAAAGUUGAUCUCAGUUCGGAUUGUAGUCUGCAACUCGACUACAUGAAGCUGGAAUCGCUAGUAAUCGUAGAUCAGCAUGCUACGGUGAAUACGUUCCCGGGUCU